GCCGGGCAUGGUGGUGUGUGCCUGUAAUCCCAGCUACUUGGGAGGCUGAGGCAGGAGAAUUGCUUGAACCCAGGAGGCAGAGGUUGCAGUGAGCUGAGAUCGCGCCACUGAAUACCAGCCUGGGCGAAAGAGCGAGAUUCUGUCUCAA
ensembl:misc_RNA Metazoa_SRP Metazoan signal recognition particle RNA